rnacentral:sRNA from 1 species
AUCAGAUUAGGAGUAUCAAAUUUUAACUUCUGGAUUCCCUUGUGCUCUUGCCAUUGAGCGGUAGGAACCUGUCAAAGGAUGUGUUAGUUCAGCUGUUGGACAAAAAGGUAGGACAACACAGAGACUUGUGUCCCCCUGGAAGUUGCCCUGUUAGCUAAUAGCACGCUUUUUUCACUCUCCUGCUCGGCUCAUCAUUUUGUCAUCCCAACCCUGCUACCGCUGUUGGUAUAUGCCAUGGCCUCCUGCCAACCUACCAGCCUUCGAUCCUUCAGUUCCGACAGGUCUCACACUCUGAGCCAUGCCUCCUACCUGAGGGACAGUGCCGUGAUGGAUGACUCAGUUGUGAUUCCCAGUCACCAGGUGUCAACUCUAGCCAAGGAGGCAGAAAGGAAUUCUUAUCGCCUAAGCUGGGGUACUGAGAACUUAGACAACGUGGCUCUUUCUUCUAGUCCUAUUCAUUCAGGUUUCCUGGUUAGUUUUAUGGUGGAUGCCCGAGGUGGUGCUAUGCGAGGAUGCAGACACAAUGGGCUCCGAAUCAUUAUUCCACCUCGGAAAUGUACUGCUCCAACGCGAGUCACCUGC